rnacentral:rRNA from 1 species
CAUACCACCCUGAGAACGCCCGAUCUCGUCUGAUCUCGGAAGCUAAGCAGGGUCGGGCCUGGUUAGUACUUGGAUGGGAGACCGCCUGGGAAUACC